rnacentral:rRNA from 1 species
UACGGAGGGUGCAAGCGUUAUCCGGAUUCACUGGGUUUAAAGGGUGCGUAGGCGGGCAGGUAAGUCAGUGGUGAAAUCUCCGAGCUUAACUCGGAAACUGCCAUUGAUACUAUUUGUCUUGAAUAUCGUGGAGGUAAGCGGAAUAUGUCAUGUAGCGGUGAAAUGCUUAGAUAUGACAUAGAACACCAAUUGCGAAGGCAGCUUACUACACAAUGAUUGACGCUGAGGCACGAAAGCGUGGGGAUCAAACAGG